rnacentral:rRNA from 1 species
CUAGACCUGAAAUCAGUCGAGGUUACCCGCUGAAUUUAAGCAUAUUACUAAGCGGAGGAAAAGAAUAUAACUAUGAUUCCCUCAGUAACGGCGAGUGAAGCGGGAUGAGCUCAAAGUGAAAAUCGCUGUUUCUUUUGAAACCGCGAAUUGUAGCCUCUAGAGGG